UUUAAUUACGGCAUAAGUAUAUUAUGAUUUAAUCCGUCCAUUUUUUUUAAUAUAAAUACAAGACGUUAUCAAUUAAAAAUCAUUCAAUUUUGUGAAAUCAAGUUUUUAUUUUUUGAAUAUUUUCUGAGCAAAAACUUUUUUUGAAGCUUCUAAAUAAUGAAUAAAAUAUUUAUUAUUUUUUUUAUUGUAUUAAUUGGGUUUGUGAUGAUUGAAUGCAGAAAUAUUUAUCCUCGUUUUCGUUAUAUGGUUCAUCCUGCAACAUGUCAACCAUAUUCUCCGUGUGAUUUUCACUCAGACUGCUGUGAAGGAUGGAGUUGUCUCAAACCAAAAAAUCAUUUAUAUAAGUGUAUUCGAACUCCGUCAAUACCUCAUAUAGGAUAAAAAAAUAAUUGUAUUUAUCUAUGUAUCACUAAUUUUAAUCUAGUAUUAUGUCUAUAACUUUUAAA